UACGGCGGCGAGCAGCGUGGUGUGGGACCUCCUCGCGCCGGGCUUGUUUCUCUGUAGCUCCCCUGCGCCGGCGCCGAAGAGAAUGAUGGACUUUGAGAAUCUUUUCUCCAAACCCCCAAACCCGGCUCUUGGCAAGAAGUCCGCCACGGAUUCUGACCAAAGGCACUCUGGAAGCUCUACAUCUCCAAAGAAUUUGCAACAUAGGAAAUCAAGAAGUAAGGACUAUGAUGCAUAUAGUGAUGAUGACAUAUGCAGUCAGGAGCCAGAAGAUAAUUUCGCUAAGGAGCUUCAGCAGUACAUACAAGCUAAAGAGAUGGCAAGUGUCACUCAGUCCUUACUGUGUCCUGAAGCAUCUGUGAAGAAAGAGACAGCAAAGGGGACCCAGAAAGCUGUUAAGCAAAAAAAUAAAAACCUUAAAGCGGCUCACAAGAAUGGUAAAAAGAAGAAAAUGAAGCGAGAGGGGCCUGGCCCUGGAGACAGAGGAGAUGCUGCCCUGAGGACCAGUGGUGCACAGGGCCAGAAUGGGAAACCUAAAGAGCAGCAGCAGCCUGUGAGAAUGAGUCAGGGGUUCAUCAACCAACAUACGGUGCAACGCCAGGGAAAGCAAAUUUGUAAAUAUUUUCUUGAAAGGAAGUGUAUUAAGGGAGAUCAAUGUAAAUUUGAUCAUGAUGCAGAGAUAGAGAAGAAAAAGGAAAUGUGUAAGUUUUACGUACAAGGAUAUUGUACCAGAGGGGAAAACUGCCUAUAUUUGCAUAAUGAAUAUCCUUGCAAGUUUUACCAUACAGGAGCAAAAUGUUAUCAGGGAGAAUAUUGCAAGUUUUCACAUGCUCCAUUGACUGAUGAGACACAAGAGCUGUUGGCUAAAAUUUUGGAUCCUGAAAGGAAGUCAUCAUGAAAAUAAAAUAGAUGAAAAAGAAAUGGUGUGAACCUGACAGAAGCAGAAGAUAUUAAGAGGAGAUGGCAAGAAGACACAGAAGAACUGUACAGAAAAGAUCUUCACAACCCAGAUAAUCAAGAUGGUGUGAUCACUCACCUAGAGCCAGACAUCCUGGAAUGUGAAGUCAGGUGGGCCUUAGGAAGCAUCACUACGAACAAAGCUAGUGGAGGUGAUGGAAUUCCAGUUGAGCUAUUUCAAAUCCUGAAAGAUGAUGCUGUGAAAGUGCUGCACUCAAUAUGCCUGCAAACUUGGAAAACUCAGCAGUGGCCACAGGACUGGAAAAGCUUCGUAUGGAUGAAGAGUGCUUGUGUCUGUCUGUGCCCGUUGAAGACUGUUCAAGACUUGAUUUGGAGUGGUUUACAAGAUUCCUGGUUUAGAGCGCCCCCUUGUGUCAUUACAUUGAAGUGCAACUCUUCUGUGGACAGUGCAGAGGGAUAGAAUGGUGUCUAAAAAGUGAAGGAUUGGUCUCCACCAAGGUGGUUCCAGCCAUUGAAACAGAGGAGUGUACAUGACAGAGAUGCCAGGUGGUGGGCAGAUGUUACGGUAGUAGCUUGCAGAGGUCUCUUCUGAGUGAUUGCAUGUUCUCAAUAAAAUAGGAAGCAAGGUUGGACUGAGUAAGGAUGGAUGAAGAGGUAUAGGAGUUUGAAGAGAGAAAACCAUCAGGUUUCUCAUAGAAGACUUCCGGAUAGUAGACGGUAGAUACACAGCUCUUUUCAUGUCAUUAAACACAUUCACAUGUUGUUAAUGGUUGCUCAUAGUUUUGUUUUAAAUUAUGGUUUGAUGAUGUUUUAAAACCCAUUUCCUGUUGUUGGACAAAAAAGUUGUUUCCAGUUUCCUACUGUUAUAAAUAAAAUGGAACAGUGUCUCUUGCUA